GCCUCUUUAGUUUAAUGGUUAGAACAAUUGCUUUGUAAGCAAUGAAUUUCAGUUCGAGUCUGAGAAGAGGCU
rnacentral:tRNA from 1 species